rnacentral:rRNA from 1 species
CGGCGUGCCUAAUACAUGCAAGUCGAACGCACUCUCGUUUAGAUUGAAGGAGCUUGCUCCUGAUUGAUAAACAUUUGAGUGAGUGGCGGACGGGUGAGUAACACGUGGGUAACCUGCCCUAAAGUGGGGGAUAACAUUUGGAAACAGAUGCUAAUACCGCGUAAAACCUAACACCGCAUGGUGUAGGGUUGAAAGAUGGUUUCGGCUAUCACUUUAGGAUGGACCCGCGGUGCAUUAGUUAGUUGGUGAGGUAAAGGCUCACCAAGACCGUGAUGCAUAGCCGACCUGAGAGGGUAAUCGGCCACACUGGGACUGAGACACGGCCCAGACUCCUACGGGAGGCAGCAGUAGGGAAUCUUCCACAAUGGACGAAAGUCUGAUGGAGCAACGCCGCGUGAGUGAAGAAGGUUUUCGGAUCGUAAAACUCUGUUGUUGGAGAAGAAUGUAUCUGAUAGUAACUGAUCAGGUAGUGACGGUAUCCAACCAGAAAGCCACGGCUAACUACGUG